GUGCUCGCUUCAGCAGCACAUGCACUAAAAUUGGAAUGAUGCAGAGAUUAGCAUGGCCCCUGUGCAAGGAUGAUAAGCAAAUAUGUGAAGCGUUCUGUAUUUUC